AACAGGAUUAGAUACCCUGGUAGUCCACGCUGUAAACGAUGUCGACUUGGAGGUUGUUCCCUUGAGGAGUGGCUUCCGGAGCUAACGCGUUAAGUCGACCGCCUGGGGAGUACGGCCGCAAGGUUAAAACUCAAAUGAAUUGACGGGGGCCCGCACAAGCGGUGGAGCAUGUGGUUUAAUUCGAUGCAACGCGAAGAACCUUACCUACUCUUGACAUCCAGAGAACUUAGCAGAGAUGCUUUGGUGCCUUCGGGAACUCUGAGACAGGUGCUGCAUGGCUGUCGUCAGCUCGUGUUGUGGAAUGUUGGGUUAAGUCCCGCAACGAGCGCAACCCUUAUCCUUUGUUGCCAGCGAUUCGGUCGGGAACUCAAAGGAGACUGCCAGUGAUAAACUGGAGGAAGGUGGGGAUGACGUCAAGUCAUCAUGGCCCUUACGAGUAGGGCUACACACGUGCUACAGUGGCAUAUACAAAGAGAAGCGACCUCGCGAGAGCAGGCGGACCUCAUAAAGUAUGUCGUAGUCCGGAUUGGAGUCUGCAACUCGACUCCAUGAAGUCGGAAUCGCUAGUAAUCGUGGAUCAGAAUGCCACGGUGAAUACGUUCCCGGGCCUUGUACACACCGCCCGUCACACCAUGGGAGUGGGUUGCAAAAGAAGUAGGUAGCUUAACCUUCGGGAGGGCGCUUACCACUUUGUGAUUCAUGACUGGGGUGAAGUCGUAACAAGGUAACC
rnacentral:rRNA from 1 species